UACGGAGGGUGCGAGCGUUGUCCGGAAUCACUGGGCGUAAAGGGCGCGUAGGCGGCGCGGGGAGUCAACGGUGAAAGCUCGGCGCUCAACGCCGAGUCGGCCGUCGAUACUCCCGUGCUCGAGCACUGUAGAGGCGGGUGGAAUUCCGGGUGUAGCGGUGGAAUGCGUAGAGAUCCGGAAGAACACCGGUGGCGAAGGCGGCCUGCUGGGCUAUGGCUGACACUGAGGCGCGACAGCGUGGGGAGCAAACAGG
rnacentral:rRNA from 1 species